GUGGGUAUGGCUCAGUUGGUUAGAGUGCUAGGUUGUGGCCCUGGAGGUCAUGGGUUCGAAUCCCAUUACUCACCCCA
rnacentral:tRNA from 1 species